AAAGACAACAAUUUUCUACUAAGCAUUCAUGAGAUCCAAGAUUGCAUACAGUUCAAUAACCAACAUCUACCGAAAGGCACAAAUACCCGAAACAACUUCACUUACUCCUCUUCUACAAAACAGUGUCAUAUGUCAAGCUCUUUAAACUAAAUCCAUUCAGAGAAAUCCUAAAAAUAACAUAGUGCUUAUUAAAACAAAGAUAAAGAUUAAAACUUUCAGCGAAGAUAAGCUGGGAUCUUGAUACGGAUAAACAACAUACUCAUAACAUAAGCAAUAACAACAAACACAAUCCCAGCUGAUGCAAAAGAAACCUUGACACUCUUUUCUCGGUUUUUAUCAGUUGCCAAAUCCAAAAGCACAAUCCCAAUACCACCUAGUACAAACAUGAAUCCAGAAGAGAGUCCUUCAAUAAUAUACUGACCAUUAACUCGACCCGGAAGAAACACCACCGGUUUAACAGCUCCGGUGAACCGGUCUUGGGUUGAUCCAAUUCCCGGCGGUUCAACAAUGACGUCAUAAACGAUGCCAGAGACGACCAUAAAGUAGGUAAGAAGGAUAAGACUGAAAACUGUCAUGGCGGAGGGAAGAGUCACCGAUGGGAUUUUCAGACGGAGCUUUGGAGGGCGGAGGAAGGAGAAUGGGAGGAUACGGAGGAUGUGGAAAAUUGGGUCGAUGGAGUAGUCAUCAGACGGAUCGGAAAAUUGGGUUUUGGCGGU
rnacentral:misc_RNA from 1 species